AGAAAGUCUGUUGGCUAUUUGAUUAUUUUAAAAAAUUUUAAAAAUUUUAGUUGUUGGCGCUGGGGAUGUGGCUCAAGUGGUAACGCGCUCGCCUGGCAUUCGCGGGGUGCUGGGUUCAAUCCUAAGCACCACAUAAAAAUAAAAAUAAAGAUGUUCUGUCCACCGAAAAUUAAAAAUAAAUAUUAAAAAAUUUUUUCUCUCUCUUUAAAAAAUUUUUUAGUUGUAGAUGGACACAAUACCUUUAUUUUAUUUAUUUAUUUUUAUGUGGUGCUGAGGAUUGAACCCAGUGCCCCACACAUGCAAGGCAAGUGCUCUACCACUGAGCCAGAACCCCAGCCCCUAUUUGAUUAUUUUUAGGCUGAUAUCAUAUUUCUAACUUAAUGGUUUUAUAAUAAAUUGAUACCUGGUAGGGUGAAUCUCCCCUCAUCUUCAAAAAUUUCUUGACCAUUCUUGGCCUGUUACUUUCCUAUAUCCCUUUCAGAAUUAGCUUGUCAACUUCAAUGAAAAAAUACAGUUUGGUUUUUGGUUGGGAUAGAAUUGAAUAAUUUCUCCUUUAUGAUUAUACACGUGGUUAGUUUUACUCCCAGGUUUUGUUGCUAUUGUGAAUGAUAUUUAAAAUAUAUAUUUUCUAAUUCAUUAUUGUUGGUAUAUUGGAUUUGCUAUAUUGAUUUGACAUACAGCAGCAUUGUUGAAAUGCCUUAGUAGUACCAAUAGUUUUUUGCAAAUAUGGCUAUUUUUCUUUACAGUGUCCUUUCAUAUUUUUCUUGUUCUGACAAGUACCUCCAGUAUAUCCUGAAUACAAAUAAUUAUGAAGAUCUUUGAUUUGUUUUCUGAUUCUAAAUGGUAUAAUUCUAAUGUUCCAUCAUUAAAUAUAAUGUUUGUUGCAGGGUUUUAGUAGCUAUCUUUUAUCAACUUAAGCAAAUCCUUUUCAUUAUGAGUUUGUUAAGAGGUUUUUUUCUUUUAAUUUUAUGAACGAGUGUUGCAUUUUGACAAAUGCUUUUUGUAUACC
rnacentral:lncRNA from 1 species